rnacentral:rRNA from 1 species
UACGUAGGGGGCUAGCGUUGCUCGGAAUCACUGGGCGUAAAGGGUGCGUAGGCGGGUCUUUAAGUCAGGGGUGAAAUCCUGGAGCUCAACUCCGGAACUGCCCUUGAUACUGGAGAGCUUGAGUUCGGGAGAGGUGAGUGGAACUGCGAGUGUAGAGGUGAAAUUCGUAGAUAUUCGCAAGAACACCAGUGGCGAAGGCGGCUCACUGGCCCGAUACUGACGCUGAGGUGCGAAAGCGUGGGGAGCAACAGG